CGUGGAGAAUUCAUUUUAGAAGAAUGGUUUCGGCCCAUUAAUAGAGUGUUUUAAUCACUCCUCCAUGU
rnacentral:tRNA from 1 species